UACGUAGGAGGCGAGCGUUAUCCGGAUUUAUUGGGCGUAAAGAGCGCGUAGGCGGUGCCGUAAGUUGGGCGUGAAAUCCCCCGGCUUAACUGGGGAGGGUCGUUCAAUACUGCGGUACUGGAGGGCGGACGAGGAGACUGGAAUUCCCGGUGUAGUGGUGAAAUGCGUAGAUAUCGGGAGGAACACCUGUGGUGAAGACGGGUCUCUGGGCCGUACCUGACGCUGAGGCGCGAAAGCGUGGGUAGCGAAC
rnacentral:rRNA from 1 species